rnacentral:rRNA from 1 species
UGCGCAGGCGGUUGUGCAAGACAGAUGUGAAAUCCCCGGGCUUAACCUGGGAAUUGCAUUUGUGACUGCACGGCUAGAGUGUGUCAGAGGGGGGUAGAAUUCCACGUGUAGCAGUGAAAUGCGUAGAGAUGUGGAGGAAUACCGAUGGCGAAGGCAGCCCCCUGGGAUAACACUGACGCUCAUGCACGAAAGCGUGGGGAGCAAACAG